CCUACGGGUGGCAGCAGUGGGGAAUAUUGGACAAUGGGGGCAACCCUGAUCCAGCCAUGCCGCGUGUGUGAAGAAGGCCCUCGGGUUGUAAAGCACUUUCAGUGAGGAAGAACGCCUGGUGGUUAAUACCCAUCAGGAAAGACAUCACUCACAGAAGAAGCACCGGCUAACUCCGUGCCAGCAGCCGCGGUAAUACGGAGGGUGCGAGCGUUAAUCGGAAUUACUGGGCGUAAAGCGCGCGUAGGUGGCUUGAUAAGCCGGUUGUGAAAGCCCCGGGCUCAACCUGGGAACGGCAUCCGGAACUGUCAAGCUAGGGUGCAGGAGAGGAAGGUAGAAUUCCCGGUGUAGCGGUGAAAUGCGUAGAGAUCGGGAGGAAUACCAGUGGCGAAGGCGGCCUUCUGGACUGACACUGACACUGAGGUGCGAAAGCGUGGGUAGAAAACAGGAUUAGAUACCCUGGUAGUC
rnacentral:rRNA from 1 species